rnacentral:rRNA from 1 species
UACGUAGGGGGCGAGCGUUGUCCGGAUUUAUUGGGCGUAAAGAGCUCGUAGGCGGUUCCGUAAGUCGUGAAGUCAAAUCUCUGGGCUCAACCCAGAAUCGCUUCCGAUACUGCGGUGACUGGAGUCCGGUAGGGGAGUGUGGAAUUCCUGGUGUAGCGGUGAAAUGCGCAGAUAUCAGGAGGAACACCAACAGCGAAGGCAGCACUCUGGGCCGGUACUGACGCUGAGGAGCGAAAGCAUGGGGAGCGAACAGG